CUCUAUUAGAAAUUUUUUAAUAGUAAAAUCUGCUCAAUGAAAAUUUUAAUAGCCGCAUUAGUGCUAAGGUAGCAUAAUCACUUGUCUUUUAAUUGAAGACUAGAACAAAAGAUUUAACUUCUAAAUUAUUUUUAAAAAUUUACUCAUUUUAAAUUAUCUUAAAUGUAAAAAGACAUUUAUAAAAAAAAAAGACGAUAAGACCCUAUCGAACUUAACUUAAGUUAAACUGGGGCAGUUAAUUAAUUAUAAUUUUAAUUUAAAUAAAUAAAAAAAAAGACCUAAUAAAAUUAAUUAAAUAAUCAAGUUACCGUAGGGAUAACAGCGUAAUUUUAUUUAGAAGAUCUUAUAAAAAAUAAAGAUUGCGACCUCGAUGUUGAUUAAUAUUCUAACUUACGCAAUAGUAAGUACAAGAAAGUCUGUUCGACUUUUAAAAAAUUACA
rnacentral:rRNA from 1 species